UGCUCAGUAACACGUGGAUAACCUGCCCUUAGGAUUGGCAUAACACCGGGAAACUGGUGAUAAUACCGAAUAGACCAUCUAUGCUGGAAUGCUUAAUGGUUCAAAGGCUUUUAGCUGCCUAAGGAUGGAUCUGCGGCCUAUCAAGUAGUAGUGGGUGUAAUGUACCUACUAGCCUACGACGGGUACGGGUUGUGAGAGCAAGAGCCCGGAGAUGGAUUCUGAGACAUGAAUCCAGGCCCUACGGGGCGCAGCAGGCGCGAAAACUUUACAAUGCGGGAAACCGCGAUAAGGGGACACUGAGUGCCAGCAUAUUAUGAUGGCUGUCCACAUGUAUAAAAACCAUGUGUUAGCAAGGGCCGGGCAAGACCGGUGCCAGCCGCCGCGGUAACACCGGCGGCCCGAGUGGUGAUCACUUUUAUUGGGUCUAAAGGGUCCGUAGCCGGUUUGAUCAGUCCUCCGGGAAAUCUGACAGCUCAACUGUUAGGCUUCCGGGGGAUACUGUCAGACUUGGGACCGGGAGAGGUAAGAGGUACUACAGGCGUAGGAGUGAAAUCUUGUAAUCCCUGUGGGACCACCAGUGGCGAAGGCGUCUUACCAGAACGGGUCCGACGGUGAGGGACGAAAGCUGGGGGCACGAACCGGAUUAGAUACCCGGGUAGUCCCAGCCGUAAACGAUGCUCGCUAGGUGUCAGGGACGGUGCGACCGUUUUUUGUGCCGCAGGGAAGCCGUGAAGCGAGCCACCUGGGAAGUACGGCCGCAAGGCUGAAACUUAAAGGAAUUGGCGGGGGAGCACUACAACGGGUGGAGCCUGCGGUUUAAUUGGACUCAACGCCGGAAAACUCACCGGGGGCGACAGCAAUAUGUAGGUCAGGCUAAAGACCUUACCCGAAUCGCUGAGAGGAGGUGCAUGGCCGUCGUCAGUUCGUACUGUGAAGCAUCCUGUUAAGUCAGGCAACGAGCGAGACCCGUGCCCACUGUUGCCAGCAUGUCCUUCGGGAUGAUGGGUACUCUGUGGGGACCGCCGCUGUUAAAGCGGAGGAAGGUGCGGGCUACGGUAGGUCAGUAUGCCCCGAAUCCCCCGGGCUACACGCGGGCUACAAUGAUUGGGACAAUGGGUCCCUACUCCGAAAGGAGAUGGCAAUCUCAUAA
rnacentral:rRNA from 1 species